UACAGGGGGGGUAAGCGUUGUUCGGAAUUACUGGGCGUAAAGGGCUCGUAGGCGGCCAACUAAGUCAGACGUGAAAUCCCUCAGCUUAACUGGGGAACUGCGUCUGAUACUGGAUGGCUUGGAUUCGGGAGAGGAAUGCGGAAUUCCAGGUGUAGCGGUGAAAUGCGUAGAUAUCUGGAGGAACACCGGUGGCGAAGGCGGCAUUCUGGACCGAUAUUGACGCUGAGGCGCGAAAGCCAGGGGAGCAAACGGG
rnacentral:rRNA from 1 species